AUUUUAUGGAGAGUUUGAUCCUGGCUCAGGACGAACGCUGGCGGCGUGCUUAACACAUGCAAGUCGAACGAGGUGAUUGAAAGCUUGCUUUUGAGAACCGAGUGGCAAACGGGUGAGUAACGCGUAGACAACCUGCCGCAAAGAUGGGGACAAC
rnacentral:rRNA from 1 species